CUCGUAGGCGGUUCGUCGCGUCCGGUGUGAAAGUCCAUCGCUUAACGGUGAUCCGCGCCGGGUACGGGCGGGCUGGAGUGCGGUAGGGGAGACUGGAAUUCCCGGUGUAACGGUGGAAUGUGUAGAUAUCGGGAAGAACACCAAUGGCGAAGGCAGGUCUCUGGGCCGUUACUGACGCCGAGGAGCGAAAGCGUGGGGAGCGAACA
rnacentral:rRNA from 1 species